rnacentral:rRNA from 1 species
CCUACGGGAGGCAGCAGUGAGGAAUAUUGGUCAAUGGGAGAGAUCCUGAACCAGCCAAGCCGCGUGAGGGAAGACGGCCCUAUGGGUUGUAAACCUCUUUUGUCGGAGAACAAAAUCCGGGACGUGACCCGGAGUGAGAGUAUCCGAAGAAAAAGCAUCGGCUAACUCCGUGCCAGCAGCCGCGGUAAUACGGAGGAUGCGAGCGUUAUCCGGAUUUAUUGGGUUUAAAGGGUGCGUAGGCGGUCCGUUAAGUCAGCGGUAAAAUCGCGGGGCUCAACCCCGCCGCGCCGUUGAAACUGGCAGACUUGAGUUGGCGAGAGGUACGCGGAAUGCGCGGUGUAGCGGUGAAAUGCAUAGAUAUCGCGCAGAACUCCGAUUGCGAAGGCAGCGUACCGGCGCCAGACUGACGCUGAGGCACGAAAGCGUGGGGAUCGAACAGGAUUAGAUACCCUAGUAGUC